rnacentral:rRNA from 1 species
UGCUUCAUGUCUCAUCAUAUAAAGUAAUCUCCUGCCCAGUGAUAAAUUCAACGGCCGCGGUAUCCUAACCGUGCAAAGGUAGCAUAAUCACUUGUCUAUUAAUUGUAGACUAGAAUGAAAGGGGUAACGAAAUAAUAGCUAUCUUAAUUAAAUUAAUAAAAACUUAUAUUCAAGUGAAGAAGCUUGAAUAAAAUUAAAAGACAAGAAGACCCUAUAGAGCUUUAGUUUAUUCAUAUUACUUAUGACAAAACUUCGGUUGGGGCGACCUAGGAUAAAUCAUCCUAUAUUCCUAAGAAAUAUAUUUCUAAUUCAUGAACCUUAAAAGAUUAAAGACCAAGCUACCUUAGGGAUAACAGGCUAAUCUUACUUGAGAGCUCAUAUCCAAAGUAAGGAUUGGCACCUCGAUGUUGGCUUAGAAAAUCAAAUUGGCGCAGCCGUCAAUGUAUGAGGGUUUGUUCAACCCAUAAUUUUC